rnacentral:rRNA from 1 species
UGGGGAAUCUUCCGCAAUGGACGAAAGUCUGACGGAGCAACGCCGCGUGAGUGAAGAAGGUUUUCGGAUCGUAAAACUCUGUCUUUUGGGGCGAACGUGAGUAUGGUGAACAAUCAUAGUCAGUGACGGUACCAAAGGAGGAAGCCACGGCUAACUACGUGCCAGCAGCCGCGGUAAUCGUAGGUGGCAAGCGUUGUCCGGAAUUAUUGGGCGUAAAGAGCGCGUAGGCGGGAUAGUCAGUCUGUUGUAAAAGUGCGGGGCUCAACCCCGUGAUGGCAAUGGAAACAGCUAUUCUUGAGUGCAGGAGAGGAAAGUGGAAUUCCCAGUGUAGCGGUGAAAUGCGUAGAUAUUGGGAGGAACACCAGUGGCGAAGGCGACUUUCUGGACUGUGUCUGACGCUGAGGCGCGAAAGCCAGGGGAGCGAACGGGAUUAGAUACCCCCGGUAGUCCUGGGCCGUAAACGAUGGGUACUAGGUGUGGGAGGUAUCGACCCCCUUCCGUGCCGGAGUUAACGCAAUAAGUACCCCCGCCUGGGGAGUACGGUCGCAAGACUGAAACUUAAAGGAAUUGAC